UCGCUGUGCCCUCAGGGUCCAGUUUUCCCAGGAAUCCCUUAGCGCUACGUUGGGGAUUCCUGGAAAUACUGUUCUUGGGGCCAUGGCU
rnacentral:pre_miRNA from 9 species